rnacentral:rRNA from 1 species
GACGAACGCUGGCGGCGUGCUUAACACAUGCAAGUCGAACGGAAAGGCCCUGCUUUUGUGGGGUGCUCGAGUGGCGAACGGGUGAGUAACACGUGAGUAACCUGCCCUUGACUUUGGGAUAACUUCAGGAAACUGGGGCUAAUACCGGAUAGGAGCCCCUGCUGCAUGGUGGGGGUUGGAAAGUUUCGGCGGUCGGGGAUGGACUCGCGGCUUAUCAGCUUGUUGGUGGGGUAGUGGCUUACCAAGGCUUUGACGGGUAGCCGGCCUGAGAGGGUGACCGGCCACAUUGGGACUGAGAUACGGCCCAGACUCCUACGGGAGGCAGCAGUGGGGAAUAUUGCACAAUGGGCGGAAGCCUGAUGCAGCAACGCCGCGUGCGGGAUGACGGCCUUCGGGUUGUAAACCGCUUUCGCCUGUGACGAAGCGUGAGUGACGGUAAUGGGUAAAGAAGCACCGGCUAACUACGUG